rnacentral:misc_RNA from 1 species
CAUUGCAUCCCUCAAGCUUUGCUUGGUGUUGGGUGGUCGUUCCAAGGGACGCCCCCGAAACUCAGCGGCGAUGCGGCCGUGGUCCCAAGCGCAGUCGGAUGGUUUCAUUCGCUUCGGGAGCCGUGGUCGGGUCCGCCGGACAAGCCCCUAGAACUUUUACGAUUGACCUCGGAUCAGGUAGGAAUACCCGCUGAACUUAA